rnacentral:rRNA from 1 species
GACGAACGCUGGCGGCAUGCCUAACACAUGCAAGUCGAACGGAGAAUGUCAAAUGAAGUUUUCGGAUGGAUUUUGAUAUUCUUAGUGGCGGACGGGUGAGUAACGCGUGAGCAACCUGCCUUUCAGUGGGGGACAACAGUUGGAAACGACUGCUAAUACCGCAUAAUGUAUACGGAUCGCAUGGUCUGUAUACCAAAGAUUUAUCGCUUAAGGAUGGACUCGCGUCUGAUUAGAUAGUUGGUGAGGUAACGGCUCACCAAGUCGACGAUCAGUAGCCGAACUGAGAGGUUGAUCGGCCACAUUGGGACUGAGAUACGGCCCAGACUCCUACGGGAGGCAGCAGUGGGGAAUAUUGGGCAAUGGGGGAAACCCUGACCCAGCAACGCCGCGUGAAGGAAGAAAGGCUUUCGGGUUGGUAAACUUCUUUUACCUAGGGACGAAGAACGUGACGGU